ACACAAUAUUUCAACUAAUUCGUUUGAUAGAUAUUAACCGUCUCUCAUUUUCAUUAUUGGUUCAGAGACAGACAAUGCAGAACAUCAACAACAAAAACACUUUCAUGGUUAGAAACAGAUCUUCUUCUUCUGAUGAUGAUGAUGCUUUGCCAAGUUAUCAAACCUCUCAAAUAAUCACAAAUACAGAGAAUUUCGAUUUGUCUGUUGAUAGUCCCUUUGGCUUAGACUUCAGCGCUAUACCGGAUUUUAAUAAUAUUUUGGAAUUGGCGCCAGAUUAUGCCACAAAAAUGGAUGAUGCGACGGCUGAUGGUAUUCUACGGGAUAUAUUGAACAAACCUGAUUAUUGUCACAACACCUCUAUACAGAACAGCAAUGUUGUUGAUGAGCAACCGUUUUUCCCACACGCGACAGGGGGUCGUGCUAAAACAUUCGAAUAUAAAG